UACGGAGGAGGCAAGCGUUAUCCGGAAUUAUUGGGCGUAAAGCGUCCGCAGGUGGCACCUCAAGUCUGCUGUCAAAGACCGGGGCUUAACCCCAGAAAGGCAGUGGAAACUGAAGUGCUAGAGUGCAGUAGGGGUAGAGGGAAUUCCCGGUGUAGCGGUGAAAUGCGUAGAGAUCGGGAAGAACACCAACGGCGAAAGCACUCUGCUGGGCCGACACUGACACUGAGAGACGAAAGCUAGGGGAGCGAAUGGG
rnacentral:rRNA from 1 species